UGUUCCGCCUGAUGAUGCUGUUUGCCGGGCUCGGUGACUUGCUAGUGGCAAGACCCGAUUCUAAAAAUUUAUUUCCACAAAUCAUAUUUCCAGAGAAAAUCCAAGCAAACACAAGUGAUAAUUCAGAAGUUGAAUACGUAAGAGAUGUUUUUUCACAAUCUAAAUUAUUAUAUGCAAUUUAUUAUAUUUUAUUAUAUAGCAAUAAA
rnacentral:lncRNA from 1 species